CAUGCCUAACGGCUGAACCAGCAAUUUGGAAGAACGUAUAGCGUAAGCUAGUUGUAUUUAUGUUAUGUACGAUACAAUAUCUUUGCGAAUAAAGUUCUAAAUAGAUUAAUGAUAAUGACAAUUUUCUAUUUAUAAGUCUUGACCAAAUCACGUGCCAGCAGUCGCGGUAAUACGUGGAAGACUAGUGUUAUUCAUCUUUAAUAGGUUUAAAGGGUAACUAGACGGUAUUUCUAGCCAGAUAUGGUACGGAUAUACUAGAGUUUAAUGUGAGAAGGCAGUAUUUAUGGAGUAGAGUUAAUAUUCUGUGAUACCUUAAGGACUGGUAACGGCGAAAGCAGCCUUCUAUGUAAAAACUGACGUUGAGGGACGAAGGCCUGGGUAGCGAGAAGGAUUAGAUACCCUAGUAGUCCAGGCAGAAAAUUAUGAAUGUCAUAAGUUAGAUAUUUUUUUUUAAUUUAUAAAUGAAAGUGAAAACAUUCCACCUCAAGAGUAAUGUGGCAACGCAGGAACUGAAAUCAUUAGACCGUUUCUGAAACCAGUAGUGAAGUAUGUUAUUUAAUUCGAUGACCCGCGAAAAACCUUACCACAACUUGAAUUUAGUAAUUUAACAAGUGCUGCACGGCUGUCUUCAGUUAAUGUCGUGAGAUUUUGGUUAGUUCCAUUUAAUUAACGUAAACCCUUACUUUAUUUUUUCUAUAAAGUAGUCCACCUUAAGAUUGGAUAUGGUAAAAGGGACCAAGACAAGUCAUCAUGGCCU
rnacentral:rRNA from 1 species